UCAUGAAAUUAGGUCCUUUGAAGACUUAUUCAACUCGGAUUGAUCAGAUGUAUACCACAAAAUGAAGUUAAGUAAACAAAGCUCUCUCCUUUUUCAUCUUUGUGCCCUGUAUACUUUGAUUUAAUUCAUCCAUGACCUUCUCGGCAGGUUGAGCCCCCAAAGAGGUCAAUACCACUUCAUAAGGAGGCCAUAUAUGAGUUCCAUCUCCGCAUAAACAGUAUAUUGCAAUUACAUCCACUUAUGCAAUUUUGUAGACCUUAACAGGAGAAUCAAAUGUGGAAGCUAUAAUUGCUUGUGGUCCAGGUACUCAGCAACCAGAUCACGCAUAGAUCGGUUCCCGAUCUUCACUGGUGAGUCCUCAUACUUCGAGGACAAUAGACAUAUUUUCUUCAGAUUUAGUCAUUUC